rnacentral:sRNA from 1 species
AUGUUAUCUUAACCUCAUUGGUUUUGAUACAUGAUCAUCAAAUGGGCAUGUGUCUCAUUUGUACUCUGUUUCCCUUGUCAAGUUUUGUCCCAAUGGGUUUUCUUGACAAGGUUUUUAAUGAGGCAAAUGAUUCACAUUCAAAUCACCCAUUUGAUGAUCCAAACCAUGGUAUAACAUUCAGAAGUUGGCCCAAUAGAAUAUAUAUGAAGUCCAACAAAUUUUAUGACCAUCACAAAAAAA